AGGGAAAAGAAGAACGAGACAUUCCCGUAAACCCUCACGUUAACUUCCGUACGCCGUAACUUCUCCGUCCGAACUUCAAUUGCCGCAUCGUUUACGUCCACGCGUUUACCGCGUCGAGCUCUUCAUUUCUACCGAAAUAAUUUCAUAGGUUGUGAAUAAAUAAUUGGAGUUUGAAAUUGUGAAUACUGGAACUUGGAGGAAGCGGAUUAGUUGAGGUUUUGAGGGCCGUGUUCUUUUAAGAAAAUUGUCUUGGAAUAAUACUUGGGAAUCAGCUAAGAUGCAGAUUGAGAGGCAUCUCGUUAGGCGUCUGGACUCUUGAAGCGGAGUGGUUGCUGGGUAGUUUUGCUGUACAGUGAUGUAUAUAUGUGUACUUAAUUUUCUCUCCACAUAACUUGUUCUUUUUUAUCCUCUUAGAGGUUUAUGGAGAGGCAGGAUUGUGUAUAUGUACAUUUGGGUUUUGGAUAUGUAUAUAUAUGUAUAUAUGUGUAUAUAUUCUCCGGCCAGUCCUGACUUCACAGGCUGAGUCAGGAGUUCGUUAUUUUGUAUCUUUGACUUUCUGUUCCUGUUUUGGGUUAUUUUACACUUGACAGCUGUAGCUUUCUUAGCACGCAAGUUAACU